CACACAGGCAGAAGACGGCAGUCAGGGUUGGUCAGCUCUCAGCAGGCGGAAAGCACCUGGCAGAGGUCCCCAGAGGACUGCAGCUCCUGUGCUCAGAGGGGUAAGCUGUGGGUUAAGCACCCUGCUGGCUUCCUUCUGUUCCCUAACUUCCUGACCACUGCUUCCUGAGCUCAGGACCCAAAUAAACACCUUCUUUUCAAAGGCUUAUCUCAGGGUCCACUUCUUGGCCAAUGAACUUAUUCCCGAGACAAGGCUGCUGCUGACAUCAGAGGAGAGGCAUGUGCUGCUGUCCCCGCUCUGGUUGCUCAGGGUCAAGGUUUGCAGCAGGGUGGAGGAGUGAUGACUGACAGGCUAGCACACCGGCUGCAAGAGAGCCUGGAAAAACAACACAGCUGAGUUUUCAGAUCCGCUCGUGGGACGCUGGAUGGUGGUUCACCGCAGGAAAGAGCUGCAGGCCCUGGGCAGCCACAAAGAUUACAGAGGGUGUAAUAAAACAUUUGCGGAAAUUCUACAAAACAGAAAAAUUAUCCGCUAGUCAUCCUGGGGCUGAGAGAGACGCGAAGUGAGAAAUUUCUUCUGCACAAAUAAAUACUCAUGAGACUUCAGGCCAAACCGGAUCUGCUGUGGUACCCCUGUGCUCAUCCCUCUUCUCCAGCCUGCUUUGCCCUGGGAGCCUGACCAGCUUGUGCUUCACCAGGGUCUCUUGUGACUCUGAGCUCCCAGCUGGACCUGGAUGGAGAGGCUCUUCAGGAGAUCCCAGGGUAAGGGAAAGGAAGGCUUGGGGCUUAGUCCUUGUAAGAACUGUGUCUGGAGAAGCUACAUGGAAGUUACCACAGACAGUGCCCCCAAACUGUCCAGAUAUGGGAGCCCUUGGGAGUCCAAAGAAAAAAGACUAAACAUCAGGAUGACCAGUCCAAAGCAUUUAUGACAGAAUGUAGAGUGGGCUGACAGACAGCGAGACAAAAUGUUCUACCCAGUAAGUCCAUGAUGAGCGGGUCAGGGUAUAGAGUUUGUACAGGGGACCUUCAAAAUGUUCAUGGAAAACAGAAGUAAAAGAUCAAAAUAUAAAGUAUAUUUCUCAACCUAAGCUUCAUCAAGUUCUGGACACUUUUGAAAGUAAUGAUAUUGGCCACUUAGUCCACCCUGUAGAACUAGGGGUCCUGGGGAUUUCAUCUUGAACAUGCAGUGUCUCUCUUACAUUAUUAACUGAAGAAGACGGAGCAGUGUUGCCAGAAUGAGCUAAAUUGGGACUGUAAGACGGAUACCUGGUGAUUUCCCACUGAAACUUGAGCGAAACAGCCCUUGUUUGAUUAGAGGAAUGAGCAGGAGCACUGUCAUGGUGAGAGGGACUUUCUGGAGCAGCUUUCCCAAGUGAUUUUCUGCCAAAGCUUUGGUUCAAGUUCUCACAAUCCUCAUGAGAAGCAGACAUUAUUGUUCUUUGGCCUCUCAAUAAGAAAAAGCAAAAUGCCAGAGCUGGCGCCAUGAUAUAGUAGGUUGAGCAUCCAUCCACCUGUGGCACCGACAUCCCAUACGGGCACCAGUUCGAGUCCCAGCUGCCCUUCUUCCAAUCCAAUUCCCUGCUGAUGGCCUGGGAAAGCAGUGGAUGAUGGCCCAAGUUCUUGGGUUCCUGCACUCACAUGGGAGACCUGGAAGAAGCACCUGGCUCCUGGCUUCAGAUCAGCGCAGCUCUGGCCGUUGCAGCCAUUUGGGGAGUAAACCAGCAGAUGGAAGACCUCUCCUCUCCUGCCUCCCUCUCUAUCUCUCUCUCUCUCUCUCUCCAUUUCAAGUAAAUAAAUAUUAAAAAAAAAAAAAGGCAAAAUGCCUUGAGCACCCCCAAAACCUAUGGACACGACUUUGCUCUUGACCAAUUGCUUUUGCUUUCACUGGACCUGUUCCACCCUUGACUGAAAUUACAUUGAUUGUGCUUUUGCCUUCAGGAUCAUACUGAGAAAGCUGUGUUCCAUCUCCUGUUACAAUUUUUGGAAAAAUGUUUCAGGAUCUUGAUCUCACUUGUAUAAAAUGUCUAUUGAGAGCUCUUGUCCACAAUGGACCUGGAUGCAAGUUUCAGUACCCACUGAGCAAAAGUUCGCUCAGUUUUAAUUUAUCUGGCAGAAUUAUAUAAAUUGAGUCAGUUGAGGUACCUACGGUAUUGGCUGUUGUUUCUGCUGUUAAUCAGCAGUCCUCUUCAAUUGUGGUAGAAACAAGAUUACUUUCUUCCUGGGAAGCUGAUGUGGAUGGUCUGCUACUGUGGGCUUCAUUUUUACAUCCUCGCUUUCUCUUCUCCCCCCACAUACACACAUACAUACAUUCACAUGCAAUUAUUUUUUCUUAUUCCACUUAAUUUACUGUGAUAAAUACUCAUAACUAUGCAUUGUUUACAAUUUUAAUCGAAGUGUCUGAUACAGUGACAUUCAAUCUACUUGCAAUGUUGUAUAACCACUGCUACUACCCAUACUUAGGACUUCAUCAUCUCCAGCAAAAUCUUAGUAUCCGUUAAAUAACUCACCCUCCUCCUCUCCAUCCAGGUCCUGGUAACCUCUAUUUUUCUCCCUGUCACUAACUCCAUUCAAAUAUUUGUUUGUUUUUCAAGUUGUUAAUAUGUAAUACUUGUUCAUUUUAUGGGGUGCAGUGCAAUAUGACAACACCUGUAUUUCAGCAUUUUGGACAAUAACCUGGAUAUUUGCAUCAGUGCCGAGGGGCAUUCAAGGUCCUGGAUUGGAUUCAAGCCUGUUGGGGAAAACAUGCAGGUGGUAGGUCAAAGGGCAGCCAACACUCUUUAUUUUUGGUCAGGACACAGGAAGAAAGCAGGGGGCACCUGGGGACCUUACACUAGGGGAGGUUAUUUCCCUGGUUUCCUCCCUGUGGACUGGUGAGGCCCUGGGAUUGAAGAAGGAGCUCUCUGCCCACAGACCAUCUGCCUCCAGGUUCUGGAAAUAGUCGCCCAACACCCUGCAGACCUAGGGGCGCUAAGGCUCAGCUCUUCCUAGCUGCAGGGUGCUGAGCUCCUGCGUGGAAUUCUUACCCCUCACCGCAUCUCCUCAGAUUUCUCAGCUGAGUGCCAUCUGUUUCUCCCCAGAACCCUGAGUGAGCCUUGCACCUCAAGGAGAGCUGGCCUCUCCUUCCCCCAUCUCCUACCAGCCCCAGAAAUUCCCUGUGGUUUGUUUAAGCCAAUCAGCACAUUCCAUUCUGUUGAUUAAGGAGCAGCAGAAUGAAAGUGAACCCCGGCGGGGCUGGCGCUGUGGGUUAGUGGGUAAGCCACCACCUGCAGUGCCAGCAUCCUAUGUGGUGCUGGUUUGCAUCCCGGCUGCUCUGCUUCUGAUCCAGCUCCCUGCUAUGGCCUGGGAAAGCAGCAGAAGAUGGCCCAAGUGCUUGGGCCCCUGCACCCAUGUGGGAGACCCAGAAGAAGCUCUUGGCUCCCUGGCUUUGGAUCAGCCCAGCUCCGGUGGUUGUGACAUUUGGAG